rnacentral:rRNA from 1 species
ACAAGGAUUCCCCCAGUAACGGCGAGCGAAGCGGGAACAGCUCGAGCCUGAAAUCCCUGGCAGGUGCUGCCAGAGAAUUGUGGCCGGGAGAGGCGGCGUUGCCCCUACUGUCGCUGUCGAAGUUGACCUGGAAAGGCACGUCGGAGAGGGUGAGAGCCCCGUGCGCGACACCGACGGGAAGGGCCGCUUCCGUCUUCUGAGAGUCGGGUUGUUUGGGAAUGCAGCCCAAAGUGGGUGGUAAACUCCAUCUAAAGCUAAAUACCGGCACGAGACCGAUAGCGAACAAGUACCAUGAGGGAAAGGUGAAAAGUACUUUGAAAAGAGAGUCAAAAAGACC